rnacentral:tRNA from 2 species
UCCGCAUUAGUGUAGGGGUUAACAUACUCCGCUUUCAAUGAUCGAGGAGCCGGAGAGCCCCGGGUUCGAUUCCCGGAUGCGGAA